UACGGAGGAUGCAAGCGUUAUCCGGAAUGAUUGGGCGUAAAGCGUCCGCAGGUGGCUGUGUAAGUCUGCUGUUAAAGAGUCUAGCUCAACUAGAUAAAAGUAGUGGAAACUACACGGCUAGAGUACGUUCGGGGCAGAGGGAAUUCCUGGUGUAGCGGUGAAAUGCGUAGAGAUCAGGAAGAACACCGGUGGCGAAGGCGCUCUGCUAGGCCGUAACUGACACUGAGGGACGAAAGCUAGGGGAGCGAAUGGG
rnacentral:rRNA from 1 species